rnacentral:rRNA from 1 species
AUUGAACGCUGGCGGCAGGCCUAACACAUGCAAGUCGAGCGAGCGGCGGACGGGUGAGUAAUGCCUGGGAAUUGCCCAGUCGAGGGGGAUAACAGUUGGAAACGACUGCUAAUCCCGCAUACGCCUGGCUUGCCCAGGUGGGAUUAGCUAGUGGGUGAGGUAAUGGCUCACCAAGGCGACGAUCCCUAGCGGGUCUGAGAGGAUGGUCAGCCACACUGGAACUGAGACAGGGCCCAGACUCUUACGGGAGGCAUCAUGGGGGAAUAUUGCACAAGGGGGGAAACCCUGAUACAGCCAUGCCGCGUGUGUGAAGAAGGCCUCCGGGUUGUAAAGCACUUUCAGCGAGGAGGCGUUACUCGCAGAAGAAGCACCGGCUAACUCCGUGCCAGCAGCCGCGGUAAUUC